rnacentral:rRNA from 1 species
UAAGGAAUAUUGGACAAUGCCCGCAAGGGUGAUCCAGCCAUGCCGCGUGCAGGAAGACGGCCCUAUGGGUUGUAAACUGCUUUUACACCGGAGAAAACCUCCCCUCGUGAGGGGAGCUGAUAGUAUGGUGAGAAUAAGCAUCGGCUAACUUCGUGCCAGCAGCCGCGGUAAGACAAAGGAUGCAAGCGUUAUCCGGAUUCAUUGGGUUUAAAGGGAGCGUAGGUGGCCUUAUAAGUCAGUGGUGAAAUCUCUCAGCUUAACUGAGAAAUUGCCAUUGAUACUGUAGGGCUUGAGUAUAGUUGCCGUUGGCGGAAUAUGACAUGUAGUGGUGAAAUACAUAGAGAUGUCAUAGAACACCGAUUGCGAAGGCAGCUAACGAAACUAUAACUGACACUGAGGCUCGAAAGUGCGGGGAUCAAAC